rnacentral:tRNA from 1 species
AUAAAUUUAGCAGACAAAUGUAGCAGAGUUAGAAUCUGAGUAUGAAGAUUAAAGUUCUUCAAUUUAUA